rnacentral:lncRNA from 1 species
UGAAGCUUUGAUCGUAGUGAUCAUUUGAACAAGGUAGUUUACUAAUCUCUGACAUUCCAAAACUAUUAAAUGUAUCAUUAGUCGUAUUUAUAUAACGUUGUUAUAAAUGUUAAAAAAUUUAAUUAUAGUACAGAACCGAACGGAACCGAACCGAUCCGAACCGAACCGAAUGGAACCGAACCCGAACGGUUCUAUAAUUAUAUUUGGACCCGACGGUUCCAUUUACUAGAUACCCGAAAAGUUUGGUUCGGUUCGGUUCUAAAGAGAACCGAACCGAACCGACCCGCGCCCACCCCUAG